rnacentral:rRNA from 1 species
UACAGAGGUCUCAAGCGUUGUUCGGAAUCACUGGGCGUAAAGGGUGCGUAGGUGGCGUGGUAAGUCAGAUGUGAAAGCCCGGGGCUCAACCUCGGAAUUGCAUCCGAUACUACCAUGCUAGAGUACUGAAGAGGUGACUAGAAUUCUCGGUGUAGCAGUGAAAUGCGUAGAUAUCGAGAGGAAUACCAACGGCGAAGGCAGGUCACUGGGCAGUUACUGGCACUGAGGCACGAAGGCCAGGGGAGCAAACGGG